rnacentral:ribozyme from 1 species
UUCCGUCUUGUUUGAAGGAAAUGGUGGAGGCUGGACAUUUGGGUCGUAAGAGUGGACAAGGUUUCUAUUACUGGGAUGGUGACAAACGUGGUGAUCCAGUAGCCUAAGAAAGUACGCACUGGUUUCCCACCUCGAUACAGACAUAGUCA